rnacentral:rRNA from 1 species
GAUGAACGCUGGCGGCGUGCCUAAUACAUGCCAGUCGAGCGAACAGACGAGGAGCUUGCUCCUCUGACGUUAGCGGCGGACGGGUGAGUAACACGUGGAUAACCUACCUAUAAGACUGGGAUAACUUCGGGAAACCGGAGCUAAUACCGGAUAAUAUAUUGAACCGCAUGGUUCAAUAGUGAAAGACGGUUUUGCUGUCACUUAUAGAUGGAUCCGCGCCGCAUUAGCUAGUUGGUAAGGUAACGGCUUACCAAGGCAACGAUGCGUAGCCGACCUGAGAGGGUGAUCGGCCACACUGGAACUGAGACACGGUCCAGACUCCUACGGGAGGCAGCAGUAGUGAAUCUUCCGCAAUGGGCGAAAGCCUGACGGAGCAACGCCGCGUGAGUGAUGAAGGUCUUCGGAUCGUAAAACUCUGUUAUUAGGGAAGAACAAAUGUGUAAGUAACUAUGCACGUCUUGACGGUACCUAAUCAGAAAGCCACGGCUAACUACGUG